UCUACGGGUGGCAGCAGUGGGGGAUAUUGCACAAUGGGGGGAACCCUGAUGCAGCGACGCCGCGUGAGUGAAGAAGUAUCUCGGUAUGUAAAGCUCUAUCAGCAGGGAAGAAGCAAGACGGUACCUGACUAAGAAGCCCCGGCUAACUACGUGCCAGCAGCCGCGGUAAUACGUAGGGGGCGAGCGUUAUCCGGAUUUACUGGGUGUAAAGGGAGCGUAGACGGCAUGGCAAGUCUGGAGUGAAAGCCCGUGGCCCAACCCCGGGACUGCUCUGGAAACUGCCAUGCUAGAGUGCUGGAGAGGUAAGUGGAAUUCCUAGUGUAGCGGUGAAAUGCGUAGAUAUUAGGAGGAACACCAGUGGCGAAGGCGGCUUACUGGACAGUGACUGACGUUGAGGCUCGAAAGCGUGGGGAGCAAACAGGAUUAGAUACCCGGGUAGUC
rnacentral:rRNA from 1 species